GGAGCGCAGCAAUGAGCUGUAACGACUCGAAGGUUGCAAGGUGUCGUCGCGGCACUGUUGGCAUUUCGCCCCCAGAGCGAUAAGGACAAAGACGCGCUCGCUCCGUUGUCUUUAGGUGGUGUCGGCGGGACCUGCAAACUUUUCCGUCUUCGGCACAAUAAAACGUGUCAUUCAGAUAGACCACCGACUGCCUUCCAGCACUGGGUGUUUCGCUUUACUGUGGAUUGAUUCUGUCUACUUUGUGGGAAAGAGCUUAAUGAGCAGCGCAUCCGUCGUUUUGACUGACUGGUCGGGGGAUGUCGAUGUGAAUCAAUCAAUGAUGUCGAGCUACUCGUACUCCGUCGUCAACACAUGAUAAGUGAAGCUCUGUUUUUCCUCCUCACAGCGAUGCGCACAUGAUUUUCCCCCCGUUUCCCUGCGAUGUGAAAAUGAUGUGCUUGUUUUUAAGCCCUGCCCGUAACACGCCGGGGUAACGGAGGUGCGGGGGAGACGCCGGCGGGGCUAAAUCCGCCAAGCCCAGCCAAGGAAGGAAGGGGUCCUGCGGAGGGAAGCGCGAAGGACGAAGCUCAUGUCGGGGAGCGCUCGGGGUCCGUGUGGAACAUGACGAACUUCUCCUCUCCCGUCCGUAGUCUCCGGAUCCCCUCUCUCAGUCACUGACUGUCAGUUAGAUGCGCCGGCAGUUUGCGUGUCUUGCUCCUAACGACUUUCAUCGCGCUGAUUUUUUGGAAACCCCGUGCAGCCGCGCGCGACACCCACAGUAGCACCCCGGCGUUUUCAGUCCUCGUUUCUUUCGGCGCAGCCGAACCCGUCCAUCUCUCUGCACGGGCAGCUCCCUUCUCUCCAGACCAGUCUUUACACACACACACACUUCUCGAGCAGCUUCUGUAGUCUGUUCGCUUCGUGCUUCAUCACCUGCAAGAGGAACGAACAAACAGAUCUGCUGCUUUUCUGUGACUUGUCAAGGGGUGACUGACUGACUGACUGACUGUGAUUGACUGACUGAUGGACUGACUGAUACAUUGGUGGACUGGAUGGCUCAAUGGGUGGGUGCCUCAGUGAUUGAUUGAUUGUUUGGUUUGUUGACUGACUGACUGACUGAGGAAUGCUGGGCCUGGGGGUCACCGAGCCCAUGAGAGAGUGCCAGUACAGUGAGAUCAGCGUUGUCGCCUCCUCGCCCAUGGACGCCGAACAUACCAAGAGGGUCCCCCGGCGGAGAAAGUGGGAGACCUUUCCGGGCCGGAACAAGUUUUACUGCAACGGGAGAAUCAUGAUGGCCAAACAGACCGGUGUCUUCUACCUUACCAUGGUCCUCAUUGUAGUCACCAGCGGACUCUUUUUUGCUUUUGACUGCCCGUUCCUGGCCACCAAUCUGACUCCAGCCAUCCCAGCUAUCGGAGGGGUCCUCUUCGUCUUUGUGAUGGGCAUGCUGUUCAGGGCGAGCUUCAGCGAUCCCGGCGUACUGCCCCGUGCCACACCCGAUGAGGCGGCCCACCUGGAGAGGCAGAUCGGUGAAGACGUUGCCAACGGACCGGGUCAGGGGGGCUACCGCCCUCCCCCGCGCACCAGAGAGGUGAUCAUCAACGGGCAGACGGUGAAGCUCAAGUACUGCUUCACUUGCAAGAUCUUCCGACCGCCGCGUGCCUCUCACUGCAGCCUUUGCGACAACUGUGUGGAGAGGUUUGACCACCAUUGCCCCUGGGUGGGCAACUGUGUGGGCAGGAGGAACUACCGCUUCUUCUACCUGUUCAUCCUCUCGCUGUCCCUCCUCACGGUCUUCAUUUUCGCCUUUGUCGUCACGCACGUCAUCCUCAGGUCCAGCCAGACGGGCUUCCUCAGCGCGCUCAAAGACAGCCCUGCCAGCGUCCUGGAGGUGGUUGUGUGCUUCUUCUCUGUGUGGUCCAUAGUGGGUCUCUCCGGCUUCCAUACGUACUUAAUCGGCUCCAAUCAGACCACGAACGAAGACAUUAAGGGAUCCUGGUCAUCGAAGAGGGGCAAGGAGAACUACAACCCUUACAGCUACGGCAGCAUCGUCGCCAACUGUUGCGCCGCUCUGUGCGGGCCGCUUCCGCCCAGCCUCAUCGACAGACGGGGCUUCGUCCGGCCGGACGCCGCCCGGCCCAGCCCUCGCUCCAACGGGACUUCGGCGUACGUGUCUUCCCAGCCGCGAACCCGCAUGGUAGGAUUUCCGGCCACCCGCGUCGCUCUCCGAGGCAUCGCGCGCCGGAACGGAGCUGUUGGAGGGGUCGGUCCGGUGGACACGCACACGCAUGCACGCACACACACACGCACGCACGCGCGCGCGCGCGCACACACAGCAGCUUGCGGUAAGGCGCGCCCGUGUCUGUAAAUGCUCUCCUCCUUUAAAACCCCCCACAUGUAGUCAAAGCGGCUUCUGACGCGGAAGUGCAGUCGUGAGCACUGUGACCGUCGAGCUCCCGCGGAGCGUGACUCUCGCCGCAUUAGAGCAAAAGGCUCCCGUCUCCGCUAUCCCAGCAUGCACCGCGGCCACUUGGUCUUCACGGCGCUCGCUCUCAGACACCGUGGUUUUCAUUCAGGUCUUCGCUCUGUCUUCAUGUGCCGUGACGCUGAGCCCAUCUGCUUUCUUGUUUAAUCGCUCUGCGUACAAAAAUAAAAAGUUCUUUUAGAGAAAUGCAGAACAAAAAAAAAAAAAAAAAUGCUUAAUGGCCCGAAGCCAAAUGGCGUCUAAUACAGCUGGAUAAAUGUAGUGGAGAUGAAAUUGCCGACUCAUUACGUCUGUACAAAAAGGUCUCUCCGUGAAAGCGAAUCACAUUAACAGGUGUAUUUACCGCGGUGCAGCACGCAGAGCAAUAGGCGUUGUGACGGAACGUGAACCAUAAAUCGGGAACGUGCAAGCAGACCAAGAACGAGGAACUCCUUCAGCCGUCGGCAUGACGUGCAGCUGUUUUUCGCUGUCGUCUUUAUUUCAUUUUACUUUGAUAUUACCGCUUUUUUAUUGUCGACGGUACAUGCAGUUAGAUUGAUAGAGGUUCCCUUCAUAGUGCUACUUGACAUUUCCAGUCCAACUGUGAAGAUACCUGACACGGCCGCCGCCACCCCCCUCCUCCACAACGAGCUCAUUACUGUGAGCGGCGGGC